AUUGAACGCUGGCGGAAUGCUUUACACAUGCAAGUCGAACGGCAGCACGGGGCAACCUGGUGGCGAGUGGCGAACGGGUGAGUAAUACAUCGGAACGUGCCCAAUCGUGGGGGAUAACGUAGCGAAAGUUACGCUAAUACCGCAUACGAUCUACGGAUGAAAGCGGGGGAUCGCAAGACCUCGCGCGAAUGGAGCGGCCGAUGUCAGAUUAGGUAGUUGGUGGGGUAAAGGCUCACCAAGCCGACGAUCUGUAGCUGGUCUGAGAGGACGACCAGCCACACUGGGACUGAGACACGGCCCAGACUCCUACGGGAGGCAGCAGUGGGGAAUUUUGGACAAUGGGCGCAAGCCUGAUCCAGCCAUCCCGCGCGCAGGAUGAAGGCCUUCGGGUUGUAAACUGCUUUUGUACGGAACGAAACGGUUCUCUCUAAUACAGGGGGCUAAUGACGGUACCGUAAGAAUAAGCACCGGCUAACUACGUGCCAGCCGCCGCAGUAACAC
rnacentral:rRNA from 1 species